rnacentral:rRNA from 1 species
ACACGUAGGGGGCGAGCGUUGUUCGGAAUCAUUGGGCGUAAAGGGCGUGCAGGCGGUCCUGCAAGUCCGGCGUGAAAGACCCCGGCCCAACCGGGGGGACGCGCUGGAAACUGCAGGGCUUGAGUACAGGAGGGGAUGCCGGAAUUCCAGGUGUAGGGGUGAAAUCUGUAGAUAUCUGGAAGAACACCAAUGGCGAAGGCAGGCAUCUGGCCAUGUACUGACGCUGAGACGCGAAGGUGCGGGGAGCAAACAGGUUUAGAUACCCUGGUAGUCCGCACAGUAAACUAUGUGCACCAGGUGGCGGGGGGUCGACCCCCGGUACCGUAGCUAACGCAUUAAGUGCACCGCCUGGGGAGUAUGCUCGCAAGGGUGAAACUCAAAGGAAUUGACGGGG